rnacentral:rRNA from 1 species
ACAUAUCAAUAAGCGGAGGAAAAGAAACCAACAGGGAUUGCCCCAGUAACGGCGAGUGAAGCGGCAACAGCUCAAAUUUGAAAUCUGGCCCCCGGGUCCGAGUUGUAAUUUGUAGAGGAUGCUUUUGGCGAGGUGCCUUCCGAGUUCCCUGGAACGGGACGCCAUAGAGGGUGAGAGCCCCGUCUGGUCGGACACCGAGCCUCUGUAAAGCUCCUUCGACGAGUCGAGUAGUUUGGGAAUGCUGCUCAAAAUGGGAGGUAUAUGUCUUCUAAAGCUAAAUAUUGGCCAGAGACCGAUAGCGCACAAGUAGAGUGAUCGAAAGAUGAAAAGCACUUUGAAAAGAGGGUUAAAAAGUACGUGAAAUUGUUGAAAGGGAAGCGCCUAUGACCAGACUUGGGCCCGGUGAAUCAUCCAGCGUUCUCGCUGGUGCACUUUGCCGGGCACAGGCCAGCAUCAGUUUGGCGCGGGGGAGAAAGGCUCUGGGAAUGUGGCUCCUCCGGGAGUGUUAUAGCCCACUGCGUAAUACCCUGCGCCGGACUGAGGUACGCGCAUUGCAAGGAUGCUGGCGUAAUGGUCAUCAGCGACCCGUCUUGAAACACGGACCAAGGAGUCGUCUUCGUAUGCGAGUGUUCGGGUGUCAAACCCCUACGCGUAAUGAAAGUGAACGCAGGUGAGAGCUUCGGCGCAUCAUCGACCGAUCCUGAUGUUCUCGGAUGGAUUUGAGUAAGAGCAUACGGGGCCGGACCCGAAAGAAGGUGAACUAUGCCUGUAUAGGGUGAAGCCAGAGGAAACUCUGGUGGAGGCUCGCAGCGGUUCUGACGUGCGAAUCGAUCGUCAAAUAUGGGCAUGGGGGCGAAAGACUAAUCGAACCUUCUAGUAGCUGGUUUCCGC